GCCAGGGCUCGCCGGAAGGUUGCACCACGUUGUUCUAGAAAACCUGCUGCGCUGCGCUAGUUUUUUGUUUUUUUUUUCGUUUUUGUCCGUUUUGCCACGCGAGGCUUUUGUGUAUCCGUUUCGAGGACUCUGUCCCGUAUGCUGUUGCCACCUGGUGGCCGAGUUUGAAAACGUUACUCGAAACAAGCGAGCAGCGCGAGAGUGGAAGGGGGAGGCUUCGCGCCUGCGCAGAAGGAAUUGUCUACCUCACGUGUUUUGUUUUUCCUUGCGGGAGGGGGGACAGCCAUUUUUUUUUCCGUGGCUAAGUUUUUCCCGGUGUUCGUGUUUUCGGCGUGACCUCGUUCGGGAAGUAAAACUCUCGUCCAGGGAGGGACCGGGGCUUUUUCGCCUGCGUGACCUCUGGACGGGUGAUCCACGUCGGUACGGGGCCGUAUCACUGCGACGAAGUGAGGGUAAGUGAUGGGCAGUAAUGGCUAGUGAGACGGAGCUUCAGGCUGGGCGAUCUCCGUCCAGCACUUAAUCAUUUUAGUCGAUUAAUGUAAGUACUGAUCAGUUUUUUUUCUUCUUUCUCAGUUUAAAUAUUUCUUUAGGAAAAUAGUUCGACAUGUGCGUAGACUGUUCCUUAGCGGAUCUGCGGCGAAGGAAGAGCGGCCAUGUUUAUAAGUAAUUAUUGUAGACGUAUUUGUGGGACGGCCUGCAUCAUGUUUUUAUGUUGAUUAUAAUUUAUCAUAAUUUAUUUAUUUGUUAAUUUAUUUGUGAACAUUAUUUUUGGUAAAUAAUAAAUCUGUGUCUGAAUUGUUUAAUUAUGUUUUCUUUCAGUUCAUGAAACUUUCCCUACACUACCUGUAUAGAUAGCAGCCUAGGUCUCGGGUACCUCAUGCUAGUGCUCUACCAUUUCUUGUUUUUCUACCCCCUUCUACCCCCUUGUUUUAGGUGGUAAUUUGUCGGAGGCCCGGCUGAGCUACGCCACAACAUUAAUUAUAACUGGACUGCUAAUUGAAUGGUAUUGUGCAUUUGGAGCUGAGUUUUGGUUGCAGGGUUGGUGUGCGAAUAUAAAUUUCAGAAAUUGAUUCAACUGGAGGUGCAGGUAUACAGCUAUCUUUUGUACAGUACCAGGUAGCAGAAGCAGGUGGGUAAGUCUGGAUCAUGGUUUGACAUGAUGAUGGUUGGGAUAAAACACAGGGCUCUCAUUGUAGGGGAUGCUCAAUUGAAUCCUGGUCAGGCCAUCUUAAUUUUGAUUUUUCCGUGGUUGCUUGCAAUAGGCUAUGGCCAAAACGUUCCCCCAACAUUCUUGUUCUUUGUUGUGUGCGACUGUCUGAGAUGUUAAGUAAGUAUAACAAAAGGUGUGGUGUAAAUUAGAAUAGGUAACUUACAUGCAUUUCAGUCAACCAAAGUGAAGGCAGUAUUCAUUAGUUCUUAUGUUAAGUUAUUAAUGUAGAUAAUUUAAAUUAAAUCAGUUUCAUGGCAUUGAGCAAUAUAUUUCUAGCCUGAAUAUGAAACUAUACUGGUAUGAAUUUAAGUAGUGAGUCAUGUUAAAAGACUCCAAAUGAAGGGUAUCAAAUUAUAGGGAAAAAAUUGUUACAUUUGGUGCCUUCCCAGUAUACAUAGUUAUUGUUUUAUAUUCAAUCGUGUAAACUUACAGAACUGUAAAGCCUGUAAAAGAGAUUAUUGCUGAAAUGCCAGUAAAGUAAAACCUGAAAUUCAGGUUGGUGUAGUUAUGUUGAAUUUGUAGUUUGUGAAGGAUGUUUCAUCACAUGGGUGUCCAAGUGAAGUGAUUGAUUUUGCUACGGGACUCGCCAGCAAGUGUGAGGAUUAUGCUCAACCUUAAAGUUGGACCAGUGAGUUAAACUUUAUGCAGGGAUGCCAUAGUAGCUGCGAAGAGGCUUUCGGAAACACUCAAACUACAGUGUUGGUGAGCAGCAGUGAAUAAGAGACCAAACCUGAGAUGUUCUUUUAUAACUGCAGUUUGGAUGCCAAACUCAAGAGAUCAAGUUUUGAACUCUCAAGAUUAAACUUUCCAUUUGGAUGUGUUAUAUGUAUAUACAUAAAUUUAUUUCGACACUGUGCUUACAAUUAUUGAAUGUUUAUUGCGUGCUACCUGUUGCAGUUCUUAUGCACCAACUAUUUAUGUAGAACAAACUUGUGCCAAGUAAAUAUGAUAGUGCUGGAUGAAAAUUGUCUUAUGAAAUCAUGUGUAAUUAAAUAUAUCUGCACAGUGUACUGAAAAAGCCAGAUAACAAUGGUGAUUAUCAAACACAUCAUAAACAAUACUUAUCUUGUUUUAUGACAUGACUCACAAGUCAUGGUUGUAAACAACAAAAUUAUGUUAACAUUAAAAAUUAUUGAGUUGUAAAUUAUAGUGUAAUGUUUAUAAUUGCAACUGUAAAGAAGUAAAUAGGUUUAUAAUUUUGUUAACACUUUAAAAUGUUCAAUGUGCCUGGGUUACUGAUGUGUGUAAAAUAUAUAUUUUAAUAUCAUUUAAG